UUAAAAAAAUUUCAUGCAUUUGUAUUGUUAAAAGCUGACUUGACUGAUAGAAUAAUUAGACAAUACGCAUCAUGUGUCACAUGUACCACAUGUUUAUGUACAAAGAGUAAUUUUUAACAAUAGAAAUGUAUACAAUUUUUA
rnacentral:pre_miRNA from 1 species